GCUGGAGUGGCGGAAUGGUAUACGCGGCGGACUCAAAAUCCGCUGUCCGCAAGGGCAUGAGGGUUCGACUCCCUCCUCCAGCACCA
rnacentral:tRNA from 2 species